AACGCUAGCUACAGGCUUAACACAUGCAAGUCGAGGGGUAACAUGAUCAAAGCUUGCUUUGAUUGAUGACGACCGGCGGAUGGGUGAGUAACACGUAUCCAACCUACCGUAUACACGGGGAUAGCCUUUCGAAAGAAAGAUUAAUACCCGAUGGUGUAAUGAGAUCUCCUGAUUUUAUUACUAAAGAUUUAUCGGUAUACGAUGGGGAUGCGUUCCAUUAGAUUGUUGGUAGGGUAACGGCCUACCAAGUCUACGAUGGAUAGGGGUUCUGAGAGGAAGGUCCCCCACAUUGGAACUGAGACACGGUCCAAACUCCUACGGGAGGCAGCAGUGAGGAAUAUUGGUCAAUGGACGAGAGUCUGAACCAGCCAAGUAGCGUGAAGGAAGACUGCCCUAUGGGUUGUAAACUUCUUUUAUAAGGGAAUAAAGAGCUCUACGUGUAGGGCGUUGCAUGUACCUUAUGAAUAAGCAUCGGCUAAUUCCGUGCCAGCAGCCGCGGUAAUACGGAAGAUGCGAGCGUUAUCCGGAUUUAUUGGGUUUAAAGGGAGCGUAGGUGGGAGAGGAAGUCAGUUGUGAAAUUUUAUGGCUCAACCAUAAACUUGCAGUUGAAACUCCUUUUCUUGAGUACACAAGAGGUGGGCGGAAUUUGUGGUGUAGCGGUGAAAUGCUUAGAUAUCACGAAGAACUCCGAUUG
rnacentral:rRNA from 1 species